rnacentral:rRNA from 1 species
AGCGAACGCUGGCGGUAGGCCUAACACAUGCAAGUCGAACGGCAGCACAGGAGAGCUUGCUCUCUGGGUGGCGAGUGGCGGACGGGUGAGGAAUACAUCGGAAUCUACUCUGUCGUGGGGGAUAACGUAGGGAAACUUACGCUAAUACCGCAUACGACCUACGGGUGAAAGCAGGGGACCUUCGGGCCUUGCGCGAUUGAAUGAGCCGAUGUCGGAUUAGCUAGUUGGCGGGGUAAAGGCCCACCAAGGCGACGAUCCGUAGCUGGUCUGAGAGGAUGAUCGGCCACACGGGAACUGAGACACGGUCCAGACUCCUACGGGAGGCAGCAGUGGGGAAUAUUGGACAAUGGGCGCAAGCCUGAUCCAGCCAUACCGCGUGGGUGAAGAAGGCCUUCGGGUUGUAAAGCCCUUUUGUUGGGAAAGAAAUCCAUCUGGUUAAUACCCGGAUGGGAUGACGGUACCCGAAGAAUAAGCACCGGCUAACUUCGUGCCAGCCGCCGCGGUAA